rnacentral:rRNA from 1 species
UACGUAGGGGGCAAGCGUUGUCCGGAUUUACUGGGCGUAAAGAGCUCGUAGGUGGUUUGUCGCGUUGUCCGUGAAAACUCACAGCUCAACUGUGGGCGUGCGGGCGAUACGGGCAGACUGGAGUACUGCAGGGGAGACUGGAAUUCCUGGUGUAGCGGUGGAAUGCGCAGAUAUCAGGAGGAACACCGGUGGCGAAGGCGGGUCUCUGGGCAGUAACUGACGCUGAGGAGCGAAAGCGUGGGGAGCGAACAGG